AUAUUCCUACUGUGUACGGGGAACGAGUUAAUGUUGGCUGAACAUUUCAUAAAAGGGAAUCCCACUCUUUUUGUGGAAUGAAACUCAAUUUAUUUUGAGCACAAGAAGCAAAAAGGAGAUGCCCACCUGUUAAGAGCGGGUUCAAUAUAACUUAUUCUGCGGCAUGGUGGGGUUUUA
rfam:Clostridium kluyveri DSM 555, complete genome.